GACUAAACGAAUAUUGAUUUAGCAUAAUGAAGCCUGAGUAAUGUGAAAAUGAGCUUUUUCAAGGGGCUUGGUAAAGACUUUCUUUUUAGCUGGUUAGAAGAAGCUUUUCAUUCUUCCCAGUAGCUGGUUGAAAUCCUGAAUUUUAUAAGCAGGAAUGGUAGUGUUGCUUGUGAUAACUCAAUAUUUCUUCCUCAUUUUAAUAAUUCUUUUCAAGUCUGAUUUUCAGCCAGCAUUUUUGCCAUGGAAUAGCUACUGAUUUGUUUGAUGCUAUCUUAAACUGACUUCAGUAUCUUUACAAUUUCAAUAUAUUUUGCAUGGAAACCUCUGGUACUGAAUAUUAAAAUAUAACUGUAUCCACAGUUGUUUGUAGAGGACCUCAUAAUUGCAUGAAGACAUUUCAAAUGGGUCAUCGUAGUAUUUAAUGUGCCAUAUUUUAUGGUAGACUGACUUUCAGUCUCUGGACAUCAGAUUGCGUUCCCUGGGAAUGAAGAUCAAUUUACUUAAGUACUGAUUUUUUAGGCAUCAGUGCAGGUUUUCAUUUUUGUUAGACUUUUGCUCUUUUUUUGGGGAGGGGGAGGAGUGUAUUAAGAUCUCAAUCCUUCCAACAAAAUAAUAGAAGUAUAUACCUGCAUGUUUAUGUGCCCAGGUGUUUGAAGAUUUUAUGUCUGAAUAUCUCCAUAUCUAACUUGGUAGGCGGAAAAAUAGGGUAGACAGGGCUGGGAGUGCAGGGAGAAAAGUAAGCAUUUGAACAAGAUGUCAAACUGAUAUUUCAUGAGCACCUAACUCAUUCUGUGGUAACUAGUAGUCAUAAAAUCAUUAAAACCAAUAGGCAAAAUCCCUUCAGAAAUUAAAAAGGAGUUAUGAUUUAAAGGAACUUCAGGUGGCUGUAUGAAUGCAAGCUCUCCUACGGCAUGGCAUAUUUCUUAUAUGGAAAUUAUAAAUACAUCCUUUGAUGGCAGAAAGGAUAGACUUGAG
rnacentral:lncRNA from 1 species